GUGAUUCCUGCUAAAGGAAUCUUUUGCUUGUCCUAAAAGCACAGGUGAAUAAGGGGUGGGCAAGUCUGGUGUCAGCCGCCGCGGUAAUACCAGCACCUCGAGUGGUCAGGACGUUUAUUGGGCCUAAAGCAUCCGUAGCCGGCUCUGCAAGUCUUCGGUUAAAUCCACCUGCUCAACAGAUGGGCCGCUGGAGAUACUACAGAGCUAGGGAGUGGGAGAGGCAGACGGUAUUCAGUGGGUAGGGGUAAAAUCCUCUGAUCCAUCGAGGACCACCAGUGGCGAAGGCGGUCUGCCAGAACACGUUCGACGGUGAGGGAUGAAAGCUGGGGGAGCAAACCGGAUUAGAUACCCGGGUAGUCCCAGCUGUAAACGAUGCAAACUCGGUGAUGCGUUGGUUUAUGGCCAAUGCAGUGCCGCAGGGAAGCCGUUAAGUUUGCCGCCUGGGAAGUACGGACGCAAGUCUGAAACUUAAAGGAAUUGGCGGGGGAGCAC
rnacentral:rRNA from 1 species